ACGGGUGAGUAACACGUAGGUGACCUGCCGAAUAGUGGGGGACAACUCGGAGAAAUUCGAGCUAAUACCGCAUAUUAACAAUAAUUUUGAAAGUAAUUGUUUAAAGGAUGCCUCUGUAUAUGCAUUCGCUAUUUGAUGGGCCUGCGGAACAUUAGCUAGAUGGUGGGGUAACGGCCUACCAUGGCAACGAUGUUUAGCGGAUCUGAGAGGAUGAUCCGUCACACUGGAACUGAGACACGGUCCAGACUCC
rnacentral:rRNA from 1 species